rnacentral:rRNA from 1 species
UAGGGAAUCUUCCACAAUGGACGCAAGUCUGAUGGAGCAACGCCGCGUGAGUGAAGAAGGUUUUCGGAUCGUAAAGCUCUGUUGUUGGUGAAGAAGGAUAGAGGCAGUAACUGGCCUUUAUUUGACGGUAAUCAACCAGAAAGUCACGGCUAACUACGUGCCAGCAGCCGCGGUAAUACGUAGGUGGCAAGCGUUGUCCGGAUUUAUUGGGCGUAAAGCGAGCGCAGGCGGAAGAAUAAGUCUGAUGUGAAAGCCCUCGGCUUAACCGAGGAAUUGCAUCGGAAACUGUUUUUCUUGAGUGCAGAAGAGGAGAGUAGAACUCCAUGUGUAGCGGUGGAAUGCGUAGAUAUAUGGAAGAAUACCAGUGGCGAAGGCGGCUCUCUGGUCUGCAACUGACGCUGAGGCUCGAAAGCAUGGGUAGCGAACAGGAUUAGAUACCCUGGUAGUCCAUGCCGUAAACGAUGAGUGCUAAGUGUUGGGAGGCUUCCGCCUCUCAGUGCUGCAGCUAACGCAUUAAGCACUCCGCCUGGGGGAGUACGACCGCAAGGUUGAA